rfam:Schistosoma curassoni strain Dakar, Senegal genome assembly, scaffold: SCTD_scaffold0010519
GCACUGCUGAGGAGUCCCACACUAGGACGAAACAGCCGUCCAGUGC